CCUGGUGGGUCAGUGGUAAAGAACCUGCCUGCCAAGCAGGAGACCUGGGUUCAAUCCCUGGAUCAGGA
rnacentral:tRNA from 1 species